GGAGGUGUGGCUUAGUGGUAAGAGUGCCUGCCUUCAAGGCAUGAGGUUCUGAAUUCAAACCUCAGUACCACCA
rnacentral:tRNA from 1 species